rnacentral:rRNA from 1 species
GUAGGUGGCAAGCGUUGUCCGGAAUUAUUGGGCGUAAAGCGCGCGCAGGUGGUUCUUUAAGUCUGAUGUGAAAGCCCCCGGGCUCAACCGGGGAGGGUCAUUGGAAACUGGGGAACUUGAGUGCAGGAGAGGAAAGUGGAAUUCCACGUGUAGCGGUGAAAUGCGUAGAUAUGUGGAGGAACACCAGCGGCGAAGGCGACUUUCUGGCCUGUAACUGACACUGAGGCGCGAAAGCGUGGGGAGCAAACAGGAUUAGAUACCCUGGUAGUCCACGCCGUAAACGAUGAGUGCUAAGUGUUGGGGGGUUUCCGCCCCUCAGUGCUGCAGCUAACGCAUUAAGCACUCCGCCUGGGGAGUACGGUCGCAAAGACUG